AGUAAGAAAUGACAUUUAGAACUGCCGAGACCUGGAGGCCCUUGUCCUAUCUAACAAAACCAUGGAACUGCCAUUUAUCGAGGAUUCAGCACCAGAAGCCCCGGGUUUGAGCUAAUGCUCAUUCCAUUUCACCCUAACAAGUUCUGUGAUGAAGGGCCCAUGAGAAGACCAUCUCAGAAUAUACCUCGUGGGAAUAGAGCAGAGAGCCUUCCUGAACUGAUAGCCUGGGAGCAAGCAGGACAUCAAAAGCUGGCUUAAGUGAACCCAUGACUCAUGGUCACUCUUGGCAACAAAGAAGAGAUAAUGGAGAUUAGACAGAGCAUGACAUCACUUCAAAAACAAGAGGAGGAAGAGGGGACUCGAUGACCUCAAAUCACCUGGGAAAAGAACAGUGAGCCAGUGGGUGCGCAGACCCUUGGGUACUCCACCAAUCGUA